rnacentral:rRNA from 1 species
UACGUAGGCAGCAAGCGUUGUUCGGAAUUACUGGGCGUAAAGAGUGUGUAGGCGGUGUUCUAAGUUUGUCGUGAAAUCUCCCGGCUUAACUGGGAGGGUGCGGCGAAAACUGGAAUGCUAGAGGAUGGGAGAGGUAAGCGGAAUUCCUGGUGUAGCGGUGAAAUGCGUAGAUAUCAGGAGGAACACCCGUGGCGAAAGCGGCUCUCUGGGACGGUACUGACGCUGAGGCGCGAAAGCGUGGGGAGCGAACAGG